rnacentral:tRNA from 2 species
GGAGAUAUAGCCAAGUGGUAAGGCAGAGGUUUGCAAAUCCUUUACCCCCAGUUCGAGUCUGGGUGUCUCCU